rnacentral:rRNA from 1 species
GACGAACGCUGGCGGCGUGCCUAAUACAUGCAAGUCGAGCGCAGGAAACUGACGGAACUCUUCGGAGGGAAGGCAGUGGAAUGAGCGGCGGACGGGUGAGUAACACGUAAGGAACCUGCCUCAAGGAUUGGGAUAACUCCGAGAAAUCGGAGCUAAUACCGGAUAGUUCAACGGACCGCAUGGUCCGCUGAUGAAAGGCGCUCCGGCGUCACCUUGAGAUGGCCUUGCGGUGCAUUAGCUAGUUGGUGGGGUAAUGGCCCACCAAGGCGACGAUGGAUAGCCGACCUGAGAGGGUGAUCGGCCACACUGGGACUGAGACACGGCCCAGACUCCUACGGGAGGCAGCAGUAGGGAAUCUUCCACAAUGGACGAAAGUCUGAUGGAGCAACGCCGCGUGAGUGAUGAAGGUCUUCGGAUCGUAAAACUCUGUUGUAAGGGAAGAACACGUACGAGAGGGAAUGCUCGUACCUUGACGGUACCUUACGAGAAAGCCACGGCUAACUACGUGCCAGCCGCCGCCGUAAUAC